AUUGAAUCACCGGUUCUUGUACGAUCACCGAAGUUAAGCGACGUCGAGCCUGAUCAGUAUCUCCAUGUGUGACCACUCGAGAAUGUAAGUGG